UACGUAGGGUGCGAGCGUUAGUCGGAAUUACUGGGCGUAAAGCGUGCGCAGGCGGUGCUGUAAGACCGAUGUGAAAUCCCCGGGCUUAACCUGGGAACUGCAUUGGUGACUGCAGCGCUGGAGUAUGGCAGAGGGGGGUGGAAUUCCACGUGUAGCAGUGAAAUGCGUAGAGAUGUGGAGGAACACCGAUGGCGAAGGCAGCCCCCUGGGCCAAUACUGACGCUCAUGCACGAAAGCGUGGGGAGCAAACAGG
rnacentral:rRNA from 1 species